GACGAACGCUGGCGGCGUGCUUAACACAUGCAAGUCGAACGGAAAGGCCCUGCUUUUGUGGGGUGCUCGAGUGGCGAACGGGUGAGUAACACGUGAGUAACCUGCCCUUGACUUUGGGAUAACUUCAGGAAACUGGGGCUAAUACCGGAUAGGAGCUCCUGCUGCAUGGUGGGGGUUGGAAAGUUUCGGCGGUUGGGGAUGGACUCGCGGCUUAUCAUCUUGUUGGUGGGGUAGUGGCUUACCAAGGCUUUGACGGGUAGCCGGCCUGAGAGGGUGACCGGCCACAUUGGGACUGAGAUACGGCCCAGACUCCUACGGGAGGCAGCAGUGGGGAAUAUUGCACAAUGGGCGGAAGCCUGAUGCAGCAACGCCGCGUGCGGGAUGACGGCCUUCGGGUUGUAAACCGCUUUCGCCUGUGACGAAGCGUGCGUGACGGUAAUGGGUAAAGAAGCACCGGCUAACUACGUG
rnacentral:rRNA from 1 species